rnacentral:rRNA from 1 species
UACGGAGGGUGCAAGCGUUAUCCGGAUUCACUGGGUUUAAAGGGUGCGUAGGUGGGCAGGUAAGUCCGUGGUGAAAUCCUAUAGCUUAACUAUAGAACUGCCAUGGAUACUAUUUGUCUUGAAUAUCGUAGAGGUAAGCGGAAUAUGUCAUGUAGCGGUGAAAUGCUUAGAUAUGACAUAGAACACCAAUUGCGAAGGCAGCUUGCUAUGCGAUUAUUGACACUGAGGCACGAAAGCGUGGGUAG